GACGAACGCUGGCGGCGUGCCUAACACAUGCAAGUCGAACGGAGAGGCUCGGCGUUUGUGGGGUUCUCAAGUGGCGAAAGGGGGAGUAACACGUGAGGAACCUGUCCUUUACUUUGGGGUAACUUCAUGAAAAUCGAACGAAUACCGGAUAGGAGCUCCUUCUGCAUGGUUGUGGUGGUAAAGAGUCGCCGGUUGGGGACGGAGUCGUGGCUUAUCGUCGUGUUGGUGGGGUAGUGGCUUACCAAGGCUUUGAGGGGUUGCCGGACUGAGAGGGUGACCGGCCACAUUGGGACUGAGAUAGGGGCCAGACUGCUACGGGGGGAAGGAGUGGGAAAUAUUGCAAACUGGGCGGAAGCCGUAUGGAGCGACGCCGCGUGCGGGAUGACGGCCUUCGGGUUGUAACGCUGUUUCGCGUGUGAAGAAGAGCGAGUGACGGUAAUGGGUCAAGAAGCAACGGCUAACUACGUG
rnacentral:rRNA from 1 species